rnacentral:rRNA from 1 species
GAAUGCCCCAUCUCCGAAAGCGCUUAGCGCCCGAGGAUGGGUCUGCGGCGGAUUAGGUAGUUGGUGGGGUAACGGCCCACCAAGCCUAAGAUCCGUACGGGCUGUGGGAGCAGGAGCCCGGAGAUGGACCCUGAGACAAGGGUCCAGGCCCUACGGGGCGCAGCAGGCGCGAAACCUCCGCAAUGCGGGAAACCGCGACGGGGUUAGCCGGAGUGCCCGUGCAUUGCACGGGCUGUCGGGGUGCCUAAACAGCACCCCAUAGCAAGGGCCGGGCAAGGCCGGUGGCAGCCGCCGCGGUAAGACCGGCGGCCCGAGUGGCGGCCACUCUUAUUGGGCCUAAAGCGUCCGUAGCCGGCCCAGUAAGUCCCCCGGGAAAUCUGGUCGCUUGACGAUCAGACUUCCGGGGGAUACUGCUGGGCUAGGGACCGGGAGAGGCCGAGGGUAUUCCCGGGGUAGGGGUGAAAUCCUGUAAUCCCGGGAGGACCACCUGUGGCGAAGGCGCUCGGCUGGAACGGGUCCGACGGUGAGGGACGAAGGCCUGGGGAGCGAACCGGAUUAGAUACCCGGGUAGUCCAGGCUGUAAACGAUGCGGGCUAGGUGUCACCGGAGCUACGAGCUCCGGUGGUGCCGGAGGGAAGCCGUUAAGCCCGCCGCCUGGGAAGUACGGCCGCAAGGCUGAAACUUAAAGGAAUUGACGG